CAAGCGAUCUGCCGCCGCCGUCGAUGGCCACGCCAAUCGGCCGGGAGCAACCUGCGUCAAAAGAGGCGCAUUGGAACCACAGGGGACUACGAUCACGAGUCCUCCCUGGGCGAGGGAAUGUUCGGCGUCGUCGCCAAAAGGCGGCACCGUGCCACCGGUCAAGUCGUCGCCAUCAAGUCCUUCCGCAACCCGGGCAAGAAGGACGAGCCCGUCGACGCCCAGGAGGUGCUGCGGGAGGCCCGCUUCCUGGAGGCGUGCGGCGGCCACCCGCACAUCGUCGGCUUCCGCGGCGUCGUGCGGGACUACGUCACCAACGAGCUCUGCCUCGUCAUGGAGUACGUCCAAGGGAAGAGCCUCCACUGCCUCCUGAGCAAGAGGCGCGGCGGGCUCCGGGAGGCCACGGUGCGGGAGUUCAUGUGGCAGCUCCUCACGGCGGCCACCGAGAUGCACCGGCGCCACGUCGUCCACCGCGACAUCAAGCCGGCAAACAUAAUCGUCGGUGAAGGAGAAGGAACGCUCAAGCUCUGCGACUUCGGGGUCGCCUUGUCCAUGUCGGAGGCGCCGCCGUACAGGCCGGCCGGCACGGGCAUCUACCGAGCCCCCGAGAUGCUCCUAGGAAAGCGGGACUACGACGCCCUGGUGGACACGUGGUCGCUUGGGUGCGUCAUGGCGGAGACCAUCACCGGCGAGAGGCUGUUCGAUGAGGACAAUUCGACUUGUCUUCUCCGAAGGAUCUUUGAAGUGGUCGGGAUGCAGGACGACACAAGCUGCCCGGGGUUCACAUCACUGCCGUUCGCGGACGCGGUGCCGCCACAGGUGCCGACGGUGCAGCGGAGCACGCUGCGAGAGCUGUUCCCGGAGGAGACGCUGUCCAAGGAGGGGUUUGAGGUCCUGAGCGGCCUUCUCGCCUGCAAUCCCGACAAGCGGCUGACGGCGGCCGCCGCGCUCAGGUUGCCCUGGUUCGCCACCAUGGCUGCAAACGCCCGUCCUCCUGCGGCCGCUACGACGACGGUGUCCAUCAAGGCGGAGGAAGUAGAGAUCGCUCCGACAGCGCUACGCAGAAAGAAAGUAACUGCAAAGAAAUAUCUGUCAUUGUUUGUAACAAGAUAG
rnacentral:rRNA from 1 species